rnacentral:rRNA from 1 species
UACAGAGGGUGCGAGCGUUAAUCGGAAUUACUGGGCGUAAAGCGUGCGUAGACGGCUAUCUAAGUCGGGUGUGAAAGCCCCGGGCUCAGCCUGGGAACAGCGCUUGAGACUGGCACGCUCGAGUUCGGGAGAGGAUGGUGGAAUUCCCAGUGUAGAGGUGAAAUUCGUAGAUAUUGGGAAGAACACCGAUGGCGAAGGCAGCCAUCUGGACCGACACUGACGCUGAGGCGCGAAAGCGUGGGGAGCAAACAGG